rnacentral:misc_RNA from 1 species
AUUCCUAUAAUCAAACGCUCUAAUCAACUUAAUGAUACAUGCUGUUUACAUAGACUAUUUCAUGGAAAUCAAAUGGAAAUCUGCAAUUAUCCGCAAUCAGUGACGUAAAAUAUGUAAUAUGUAGAUGGCUUCGCUAGACUGCGCCAUGACUUUACUAUGUAUAUUUUAGCCCAAAGCUUGCUAGAAAUGAUGAUGAUUGAAUUAGACUACAACGAUUGAUGCUGAGUUUGUGUGCUUGAAAUGAACAAUGAUCUGACCAGAGAGUCAUAUGAGUGAUAGUGGACAAAUAUUCUUGUGUGUCAGAACUCGUGGUAAAACCUAAUAAAUCGUAUCCUCUGAUUCAGGAAAAUAUUAUG